rnacentral:rRNA from 1 species
CCUACGGGUGGCUGCAGUGAGGAAUAUUGGUCAAUGGGCGGAAGCCUGAACCAGCCAAGUAGCGUGCGGGAUGAAGGCCCUACGGGUCGUAAACCUCUUUUGCACGGGGAUAACACCCUCCACUUGUGGACGUCUGCAGGUACCGGGCGAAUAAGCGCCGGCUAAUUCCGUGCCAGCAGCCGCGGUAAUACGGAGGACGCGAGCGUUAUCCGGAUUCAUUGGGCUUAAAGGGAGCGUAGGCGGGCUGUCAAGUCAGCGGUAAAAUGGCGGGGCUCAACCGCGCCCCGCAGUUGAAACUGGACGCCUUGAGUUCACAACAGGCAUGCGGAAUUCGUGGUGCAGCGGUGAAAUGCAUAGAUAUCACGAGGAACCCCGAUUGCGAAGGCAGCCUGCCGGGGUGCGACUGACGCUGAGGCUCGAAGGUGUGGGUAUCAAACAGGAUUAGAUACCCUAGUAGUC